rnacentral:rRNA from 1 species
AUACGGAGGGUGCAAGCGUUACUCGGAAUCACUGGGCGUAAAGCGCGCGCAGGCGGUCUUUUAAGUUGGAUGUGAAAGCCUACGGCUCAACCGUAGAACUGCAUCCAAAACUAUUAGACUAGAGUGUGGGAGAGGAAGAUGGAAUUAGUUGUGUAGGGGUAAAAUCCGUAGAGAUAACUAGGAAUACCAAAAGCGAAGGCAAUCUUCUGGAACACUACUGACGCUGAGGCGCGAAAGCGUGGGGAGCAAACAGGAUUAGAAACCCUGGUAGUCC